UACGGAGGGUGCGAGCGUUGUCCGGAAUCAUUGGGCGUAAAGGGCGCGUAGGUGGCCCAGUCAGCGUGCGGUGAAAGCUCGGGGCUCAACCCCGAGUCGGCCGUGCGAACUACUGGGCUGGAGCACUGUAGAGGCAGGCGGAAUUCCGGGUGUAGCGGUGGAAUGCGUAGAGAUCCGGAAGAACACCGGUGGCGAAAGCGGCGCUCUGGAUCUCUUCUGACGCUGAUGCACGAAAGCUAGGGUAGCAAACGGG
rnacentral:rRNA from 1 species